rnacentral:rRNA from 1 species
CCUACGGGUGGCAGCAGUGGGGGAUAUUGGACAAUGGGGGGAACCCUGAUCCAGCGACGCCGCGUGAGUGAAGAAGUAUUUCGGUAUGUAAAGCUCUGUCAGCAGGGAAGAAAGAAAUGACGGUACCUGACUAAGAAGCCCCGGCUAACUACGUGCCAGCAGCCGCGGGAAUACGUAGGGGGCACGCGGUAACCGGAAUUACUGGGUGUAAAGGGAGCGUAGACGGUUCUGUAAGUCUGGAGUGAAAGGCCGGGGCCCAACCCCGGAACUGCUCUGGAAACUAGUGAACUUGAGUGCAGGAGAGGUAAGCGGAAUUCCUAGUGUAGCGGUGAAAUGCGUAGAUAUUAGGAGGAACACCAGUGGCGAAGGCGGCUUACUGGACUGUAACUGACGUUGAGGCGCGAAAGCGUGGGGAGCAAACAGGAUUAGAUACCCUUGUAGUC